AAACUUUAUCUUGGAUUGGAAUUUGAAUUUUGUAAAUCAAAAAGGGAAUAAUAUGGGAAUAUCUCAUUUGACUAAAUAAUGGAUAUAUAUAAUAAAAUAAACCAUGUAUAACAAGUUAGAGUUUCUGUUUGAGCACUUAAAUAUACUUUAAAUUUGAACUCUGUUUGAAUUUAAUUCAAAAUUUGAAUUUGAAUCUAAUUUGAGAUUGGGAAAG
rnacentral:lncRNA from 7 species